AAGAGUCAAAAGAGGAAGAGGCAUAUUUCAGGUUUGUGCGUGAAUCUAAUAUAGACAUUUUUCUUUCCACAAAAGAUCGUAAAAUUCUCUCUAGGAUCUUGUUAGAUUCACGCACAAACUCGUAAUCUGCCUUUUCGAUUAUCCUCGUCUCUCUU
rnacentral:pre_miRNA from 1 species